GGAGAGGUGACCGAGCGGUUGAAGGUGCACGCCUGGAAAGCGUGUGUGGCGGAAACGUCACCGAGGGUUCGAAUCCCUCCCUCUCCGCCA
rnacentral:tRNA from 1 species